UGCCGCAAGGCAUUCUCCUUUGAAAAUUGAGGAUCUAGUAGUCUGAACAGUAUGGAGGUUGAGUCUACAUAUUUGGAAUGCAAGCUUGAGCCUCUGAUUCAUCUGCCUUGAAGUCAAAGUCGUCCGCCUGGAGAUGUAGCUCCAACCUAAUGCCGAACACCACUCCAUGGUCUCUGCAAUGUUGCUGAGGACAACUCCAGCCUCGGCGCCAAGUGCGGCAAGUUCUGCCUCGUCCUCACCAACCAAGACGAUGAUUCAUAGAAAAUGUUAGGAGAAAUAGGACAUCAGCUUCAGAGUAUUUCCAAGAAAAAUGCUAGCAGAGACGGACGAUGCCGACCACUCGUUCAUUCUACCAGCAGAAACAAUCGAGUGAUAAAGUUUAAUAGCAGAGUGACAGUCAGUGCAAACUCUGAGGUGACGGAUGGCCGAGACGCUGACCGAACCUUGUUCUUGGAGCGAUCGGUGGAUUGCCGUGGUGUUGGUGGAAGGGAGAGUCCUUGAUGUAGCAGCAUCACAAUGGACAAGCCUGGCCAGCAUCUCCAAUGGAUAUGCGAUUCAGUGCGGCCUGUCUCUGGAGCUAAGAUGAACAAUACUUCUGCGGCUCUGCGAGAUAUGAUAAUAUCAUCAGCGAGUUGAGAUUCACCGACAACAACAAGCUGAAGCAAAUCUACGCCUAGCACAGUCGUGGUGAGUGGUCUGAGCAUUCCUCCUCCAGCAAGCACAUACCAAACAUCCGCAACUUAGACCGGUUUGAAGAAUCUGAUAAGUGAAGGGCAUAGCGGCUAGUGUGUUGCUAUCUUUGUCUGCCUAUGUUGUCGGCAAAUCAAGUUUUGAGAUUGAAGAGGGACACAUGCUACUGGUGACUCCUUGGAAGACAAGGGACACUGUUUGGGCUACAAUAAAAGAGAAUCCUGGUAUGCAGCAUGUGAGACAAUCAUUACCUGGGCUACAACCCCCUCCCGCUGAGCUCCUCGGGUUGCUUCUAUUAGUCAUGCGGUGUGGUGUUAGUUGUAUUUAUGCAGCACCAGCCUCCCCGAGCUGCGUGUGCUAGCGUGCACCAGGGCUAGAAGCCUGCACCUUCCUGGAGAUGCGGCUCCGUUCUGAUGCCAGGGGCCUCGGCAAUGCUGAUGAGGACAACUCGACGCAAACAACGGCAAGGUCUGCCUUGUCCUCACCAACCAAGGCGAUAAAAGCUUAUGAUGGUUGUAUACACUAUUAUGAUUCACCGACAACAACAAGCUGAAGCAAAUCUACACCUAGCCCAGCGGUGGUGAGUGGUCUGGGCAUUUCUGCUCCAGCAAGCACAUACCAAACAUCCACAAAUCAGAUCAGGUUGAAUAAUAUGAUAAGUGAAGGGCAGAGCGGCUAGUGUCUUUCUACCCUUGUCUGCUUGUGUUGUCGGCAAAGCAAUUUUUGAGAUGCAAGAGCGACACAUGCUACUGGUGACUCCUUGGAAGACAUGGGACACUGUUACCCUGGUAUGCAGCAUGUGACAAUCAUACCUUGGUGCCCCACUGGGAGGGCUAUGUGUGGCCUGAGUUGAAGACUCUUGCACUUAGGGUCUGUGGACAGAGAUGCUUUUGCUGAUGACGCUGAAUAUGUUUUGCCAUUGCCUUUGUUGUUUCAAAAUGUUGAACUGGCCCUCUUGCGGUCUGGCUAUGCGGUGCGUUGAUGGUGGUGGUGCUAUUCCUGGGCUUGCCGAUGCUUCCCGCUCCCCUCUUGGGUUAGGCUUGGGUGGCCCCUGGCUUCGACUACCUCCUCGGUGUGGCGGCCGUGAUGCUCAGCCUCGGCUACAAGCUUUCCGGAGUCUGAUGAGAUACUGGUUCACCCUUUGGUUAUGUGGCUACCAACUUACCAAGUGCUCUGUGAUUUGUUGUACUUACUUCCUUCAUCUUUGUCAGGGCACCCUCAGCGAGGCCAAGAUGUACUACAGGGCGAUCAUGUUUGUGAAGGCGGACUGCCAAAAUCUGUCCACCUUCCUGUUGACAAGUUCCCCAGAUCCAGUUCACCCGGUCUUCGAGUAGUUCGAACUAUCGCACACCUGCAAGUCCUCCAGUGUCUUCUUAUCUGGGUACAAUGUCUUCCAGCCUGCAAACAGAGAUUAGAUGGUUUUGAAUCUAAAUACGAAUUCUUAAGGUAGUGUCUGAGGUUUUUUCCCCAAGGAUGGCAGAUAGACGGAUAGACCAGAUUUAACCUUGCAUUGCUUCAUUAGGAUGGUUGCUUAUUCUUUUUGUAAUCAUCAUAUCUGAGGUUCUUAUUGGAUGCUUCUCUGGGAUACCAAGUGAAGUAACAGCAUGACUUCCUAAGUAGGUGCUAUGAUCAGAAUGCAAGAAUCUGGAUAUUGUCUCCAUGGUGAUGCGUUGGUUGCAGCCUUCAGUUUCAUGUGGUUCCUCCCUAUGGUUUGGACUGCUCAAUCAGCCGAUGCUAUCAGCAGGGUGGAGCCAUGGAUUGGAGAAGGAAGAAGCGCAGAUCUAGAUGCCUGGUGCGGUGAUUUUGGAUUAUGUUGGUUUCGCUGCUAGGAUUGAUCAGCAAUCGUUAAGUCAUAAGAAGUUUUACAUUGUUGUUUUGAACUAUUCUUGUAAUGGCAUGGAAUUGGUACUGAAAUAUGAGUGGAGUGCUAAUUCUAUGUAUGUAAAAAUGAAACUGUUGGUGAAGCAUUA